CUGGGUUUCCAAGCAGAGGAGUAACCUGUUAUCUGCUCGCUCCGAAGCAGAGCGGAAUUUCCCAGCAAAACUCAGAAAAUAUUAACAAGCAGCCUUUGU